rnacentral:rRNA from 1 species
GACGAACGCUGGCGGCGUGCUUAACACAUGCAAGUCGAACGGAAAGGCCCUGCUUUUGUGGGGUGCUCGAGUGGCGAACGGGUGAGUAACACGUGAGUAACCUGCCCUUGACUUUGGGAUAACUUCAGGAAACUGGGGCUAAUACCGGAUAGGAGCUCCUGCUGCAUGGUGGGGGUUGGAAAGUUUCGGCGGUUGGGGAUGGACUCGCGGCUUAUCAGCUUGUUGGUGGGGUAGUGGCUUACCAAGGCUUUGACGGGUAGCCGGCCUGAGAGGGUGACCGGCCAAAUUGGGACUGAGAUACGGCCCAGACUCCUACGGGAGGAAGCAGUGGGGAAUAUUGCACAAUGGGCGGAAGCCUGAUGCAGCAACGCCGCGUGCGGGAUGACGGCCUUCGGGUUGUAAACCGCUUUCGCCUGUGACGAAGCGUGAGUGACGGUAAUGGGUAAAGAAGCACCGGCUAACUACGUG